rnacentral:rRNA from 1 species
UCUCAAAGAUUAAGCCAUGCAUGUCUAAGUACAAACUAUUUUAUAGUGAAACCGCAAAAGGCUCAGUACAACAGCUAUUAUUUAUUUGAUCAUAAACCCAGUUACUUGGAUAACUGUGGUAAUUCCAGAGCUAAUACAUGCAAACAACAUGGUAUCCCUGUAGCAAUAUGGGUGAGACAUGUGCUUUUAUUAGAUUAAAACCAAGAUUCACUUCGGUGGAUUUUUUUUAGAUGAAUCUGGAUAAUUAUGGCUGAUCGUAUGGUCUUGCACCGACGAUAGAUCAUUCAAAUGUCUGCCCUAUCAACUAUUGAUGGUAGUAUAGAGGACUACCAUGGUUGCAACGGGUAACGGGGAAUCAGGGUUCGAUUCCGGAGAGGGAGCCUGAGAAACGGCUACCACAUCUAA